GUUGCACCAAUCAGUGACGGUUCACAAUGACCGCAAGAACUACGUCGUACUGCGCACGUCUCCUUUGCUGAGAAAAAUCCAUCCACCUCAUAGGGGUUGCAUAUCAACAUGCUGAUUAGACAUCAUGAAAUUUGCACAGGUGUGCCUUGGAGGGUUGCGGGCGUGCUGGAGCCUAGCCCACCUGACUCUGGACGAGAGGCGGGGUACACACUGAACUGGUCGCCAGCCAAUCGCAGGGCACAUGUAAACAAACAACCAUUCAGACUCACAUUCACACCACAGCAAUUUAGAGUCUUCAAUUAGCCCACCAUGCAUGUUUUGGGGAUGUAGGAGGAAACAAAAGUAACUGGAGAAAACCCACGCAGGCAAGGCUGGAUUUUGAACCCAGGUCCUCAGAUGUGUUAAGCAGUCGUCCACCGUGUCGCAUAACUUUAUCCUCGUAAAAUUUAGAUUUUACUGUC